GACGAACGCUGGCGGCGUGCCUAAUACAUGCAAGUAGAACGCUGAAGGAGGAGCUUGCUUCUCUGGAUGAGCUGCGAACGGGUGAGUAACGCGUAGGUAACCUGCCUGGUAGCGGGGGAUAACUAUUGGAAACGAUAGCUAAUACCGCAUAAGAGUAGAUGUUGCAUGACAUUUGCUUAAAAGGUGCAAUUGCAUCACUACCAGAUGGACCUGCGUUGUAUUAGCUAGUUGGUGAGGUAACGGCUCACCAAGGCAACGAUACAUAGCCGACCUGAGAGGGUGAUCGGCCACACUGGGACUGAGACACGGCCCAGACUCCUACGGGAGGCAGCAGUAGGGAAUCUUCGGCAAUGGACGGAAGUCUGACCGAGCAACGCCGCGUGAGUGAAGAAGGUUUUCGGAUCGUAAAAGCUUCUGUUGUAAAGAGAAAGAAAC
rnacentral:rRNA from 1 species